rnacentral:lncRNA from 1 species
CACAAAACAGAGUAGGAACAUGAUAAAUGUACCAAACCAAAACCAUGACAAACUUUAAUGUGUCUAUAACCACUCCACAAAAUUUCAAGUCCAUCCAAUACAUAUCAAGAAUUUCACAAAACAUCUAAAAUCAUGACUCAGAAAAAGUCCACAAUUGGUCAAACAGAAAGGAAAUUCUCAAACAAAUUGGAAAUGCAUCCAA